CCCUGGUCAAAGGGGCUGGAUUGGUCAAAAUAAGAGCUGGAAUCUAGUGCAACGUACCGUUUUGGGAUUGCAAAGCUGCUAGAAGCUAAGGUUCAGAGAAAGGCUCGAGCAAAGGGGAUUUUUCCCCAAAUCGAAAACCCUUCGAGCUAGGGUUCAUAGAGGAGUGCGAAGAGGGUUCGCGAAUAUGCUAGGAGAGCUCGCGAUGGACUGGACCAGAGGUUGUUUCAAAAGCUUGGAGUUGAUCAAAAGGUGCGAGAAGAACUGAGGGUCCGUGAUUAAAAGAGGUGUGGCUCGAGAAGGGUGUGCGCGAAGUGCUUAUUGGGUUCGAUCUUCCCUUUUUUCCCUCUUCUCUUUAGUUUUUCUAUAAAACGACAGUGAUAAAGAGUUUUUCUCUCGGUUAGUUUUAGUUUUUGUCUUGGUUCUUCUCGGUUAGUUUUUCAAACACUCUCGGUUCUUUUCAGUUUGAGGGUGAUUAGUUGAUUAGUCUUAGUUAGUUUUAGUUUUAGUUAGUGUUAGUCUAGUUCUUGGAGUGAUUUUCGUUUUCUUCUUCGUUGGAGAUUGUUGAAGGCUACUCACAAGCAGUGACAAGUCGUGAGCCCUCCUUUGGUGAUUUCGGUACCUUUUUCCAUCUUUCUCUUAUGGGUUUCUAGAUUCUUUCUACAUUCACAAAUUCCAUGUUAGGAAGUGGAAAGUUUAUGAAAGGAGGAAAAAGAAGAGUACCGAAGGUAAGGGACCGAACGAUAAGGGAUGAAGGUGUGAAGGAUUGAACAAUAUCUACACUAAUACCGAAAGGUGGGAGGAAGGAGUGAAGGACCGAACGGUAUCUACACUAAUACCGAACGAUGGGAGGAAGGUGUGAAGGACUGAACGGUAUUACCGAACGGUAGGAGGAAUAAAAAGAGCGGGAAAGUUUGUUAGGGGGAGAGAGAAAGUAUAAAUAAACAUUCUUGAUUUUUGUUGAGGCAGCUAGCCAUUUCUUACGUUUUGUCUUGAACCUUGUUGAGGGGGAUUAGGCUCUCGAGUUGAUAUUGUUUUCGUUUUACAGUUACAGUGAAUACAUACAAUUACAGAGAUUAGACACCUUUCCUUUAUUUUCUCUUGUUUAUUGGCGUUGGCGUGAGUGGGUGUUGCGAGAAUAUUUAGGUCUCUUACUCAGAAACCUAACAUUCCAACUGUGCAUCUGCAUUCCUUAUUGGUCCUUAAGCACAUUACAUUCACUUGUGCAUGGUAUCACGUUUUGGUAGGCAUAUUUCACAUUGCGGCAUUAUUUAGAGUUGUUAGGACAAAUUUCCGUUGCAUCCUUUAGCAUUGCUAGGUUCAUUGUCCCUUGCAUUUUCCAUUUUUCAUUUGUAGUCAUUAGGUUAGAAUAACACCUUGCAUUUAGCAUCUUUCCAGGUUCUGAAUAUUUUUUUCUGGUUUUCUGCUUGAUUCCUCUUAUUAUCAUGUCUAUCAUAUUCUAAAAACCCAAUUCGUUUUGAUUCUGCACCUUUCUUCACUAAAGAUUUUGCAUCAUACCUUGCAUACUGUUCCAUUUCUGUAUUGUGUCCAUUCCUUAAGUGCAUCAACAUUUUAAUUCCAUUUCUAUGCAUACUCAUUAACAUCUAAAUAGUCAGUUAGGUUCUGGAACUGCUUUCUGUACAUUAACCAUUGAUAGGCAUCAAUUCCAGUAGUCUCUAGGAUUAAUUGCUUUACAUUGCAUGCUUCCUUUUGCAUUUGUAUCUGUUAUUUCAAUUUCUUGCUUUACAUAUCACUCUUUGUUGUUUUUUUCUUUUCAUGCAUUUAGUUGAUUACCCAAUUGGGGUUUCUUGAUAUUACUUGUUCUUUGCAUUGACUAAAUAGGGUUCUGAUAUUAGGUUCUGCUGUUGAUUCGCAUAAGUAAUGAUGUUCAUCAAUCUAGGUUCUUGUAUUUGCUUUAAUGCAUCAUUCUAGGUUAGGUGUCAUGUAUUACUUACAAUUGAACAUUCAAGAAACCAUGAGUACAUUCCAAUUCCAAAUCUCUUUCUGAUUAAGGAAAUUCAUUCAUUCAUUCAUUAAUGCAUCUCCAAAGCAUUUCCCACAUAUGAAUCUGUUCUAGACAUUUCUCUUCCUUUCUUUACAUCAUUAUACAUCAUUCAUGCAUCAUCUAGCUUUAGUUAGAUAGACAUGCAUUUGUAAUUAGCUUUCGUUUCUUUUAAAACUUCAGUUUUCUUUUCUUGCCCACAUUAACCUUGUUUUCAAUUUUAAUUCCAUAGGAUCAACUAUACAUUUCUAAUACUUAACAUGCACUGAGUCAUAGGAUUAAACCUUGGUUACCACUAGCCUACAUUAGUGGGGAACUAAGUAUUGUUCACUUUUAGUGCGACCUAAAAGCUCAUUUCAUUUCAACAGUAACCCUAAAGGUGUCUCACAAAAUGGAGAAGUAGAGACCUAAUUCUACAAACUUAGAUACCAAGGAAAAAAUCUUCUCCAUUACAAGGAGGACACGUGGCCACUAAUCCUUUCCAUUAAAAGCAUGCCACAUGGCAAGAGCAUGUGUCUCAUAAAAAGAGAGGAACUUGGAGACGACUCUAGCCGAGGGUCCACAAGCUUCUAGAAGGUUUGUGCUCCAAGUUAUGGCUUUUACCUUAGAUCCAAAACCCUCUAGGCCCAAAACCUUAAACUACAACCUUAGGCCGAAAAGAAAACCUAGACUAUGUAGCCCAUUAUACAAGGACCCAAAAGAAAACCUUAUAUUAUUGGGCCUAUAAUACAAGGCCCAAAAUAAAUGUAAUCUACUAAGUAUUCAUUAAUGGUCCAUGAUGAUAAGAGCUUGGGCUCACCUUCCAUAGGAGACUCCAAAUCUUCUUGUAAGCUCUUGGCCAUUGUUAGGGAGUUUGAUAUCACCACGACGACCAACAAAUUUAGUGAUGGGCGACCCAACAAUACAUUGUAUGAUGUGAUGGCGUCUAUGACCAAGUAUCGAAUUGGUAUGGUCUUAGUUAGGUUUUCUUCACCAAAAGACGUGUGAAGGUCGAUGUAACCUCUCAUAGACACCCUUUCUCUAGAGAAGCCAUAUAUAGGUUCAUCAUAAGGUGUCAUUGCUUCUUCUAGACGCUCCAACUUUUGAUAGGUCUUUCAGUAGAGUAUAUCUAAUGAAAUACCCUAUCGAUUAAGACCUUUUUUAUGGUAAAGUUCUCCGCCUCCAAGUUUAUGACAAUAGGGUUAUUCUAAUAUGGGUCUACUCCUUGGAAAUCUGCAUUUGUGAAUAUGAUAGGUGACGUCCUCUUGUGGCGAUAAUUAUUGUAACACCACAAUUUUCAGGGUGUCAUGGGUUAUUCAAAAAUCGGUAAAUUUCAAAACUUUAUCAUAGUGUGAAAAUGUAUUUUAAAAAACCUCAACAUUUAAAGCAGAUGUGGUCGAUCUAUGACUCGAUUGCCCGAUGUGACAUCCCAACUCGUUGCCAUGGAGAGGAUAUCCGUUGAGAUUGAUCCUCAAUCGGGUCUGCCUUUAGGGCCACAUGUAGAGAAGUUUAGGAGUUAUUUGGGGAUGUUGGCAAAAACUCAUGUCUCUAUUGUCAUUGCAUCUUGGGAUGAUGUCUCAGAGAUGGACAAGAACCUCCUAUGGCAGGACAUUUUGGUAUAUUUACUUAAAAAAAAUUAAUAUAUUGUUUAAUAUGAUUUUAUUAUCUCAUUAACAUGUUUUUUGUUUUGAACGGCAAAAUUUUGAUAUUCCAAACACUAGGCAAAUUAGAAAGAAAGUGUUAAUUCACGUAGCAAUUAGAUGGAGGGACUUCAAGACAAGCCUGACACGUCUAUAUGUGUUUGGAGACUGACAACAUGAAUAUAUGAAUAUCCUUGUGCGAAGUACAUAAUAACUGAGGAGGAAUGGAUGCAGUUUCGUGCAUCUAGAGAGUCUAGAGUGUGGCAUGUUUGUUUCUUAAAAUUUUGCUAUAGUCAGAUAAGGCAUUCAAUAAUGAUUUACACUUAUGAAUAUACAUGGUUUGACGGGUAAAAGGUUAGCAAUCCAAGAAAGACAAAGACUUAAUGAUGCAUUACACGUACUAUCACGAGGUGGUUAUGCAUUAUUUGAGAGAAAGAUGAGAAAGAGUCAAGUAGAGACUUUAGGACUUGAGUCUCCUGACCUAGCACCUACACCUGCUAGGAACGAGAUUGGAAGACUUCAUGGACUAAAUCUAAUGAGAAUAUGACAUCACAAUCAAUUGUCUUGAGAUCACAUAAUUGAUGUGUUGGUCGAGCAACAAACUCAAGGUUCCUUUGCUAGCUAAGGUAGGGACGACAUUCUCACAAGACCAUUGAAAAGCUAGAGCACCUAGGACGUGUACGUGGCGUUGGGGGUGUGAUUGGUCUUCGGGACUACUUUGAUCCUACACAAAGAAGCAGUGAAUCCAUGACUUAGGAGGCAUUGAGGAAGGUGGAGCUCCAAGUGGAGGAAAGACUCAAUCCACGCAUGAGUGUUAUAAAGUAAUACUUCAUGGAGCAGCUAUAAGAAUAAAAAUAAAUCCAAAGAAUGCUGGAAGAAAAGCUGUCGUCCAUGACCCAGGCAAUGGGGUUGAAUUAACAUGGUUUAUCUAAAUAAGAGUUUGAAUUUACAAUGUGUUUUGUGUUCCAGGAGCUUAUACAUUAUUAGAUAACUAUGUGAUAAUAAUUAUAUUAUUA